rnacentral:rRNA from 1 species
ACACCAUGGGAGUGGGUUGUACCAGAAGUAGAUAGCUUAACCUUUUGGAGGGCGUUUACCACGGUAUGAUUCAUGACUGGGGUGAAGUCGUAACAAGGUAACCGUAGGGGAACCUGCGGUUGGAUCACCUCCUUACUGAAGAC